CCCAUAUUGAAGUGAACUUCAGCUCGGAGAUUACAAAAUAUUCUAUCCCGUCUACAAAGUGCUCUGUUAGGGUUUUGAAAGAAAGUGUCGUCCUUCUCCCUUUGGGGAGCUUCUCCUCCUCUAGGGAGGUUUUUCUCUCCUGCUUGGUAGGCUUUCUCCCACAAUAGGUGGGUUCUCCUCCACAUUAGGUAAAUUUGUUACCCGAAUAAGUGAGUUUUUCUCUCUUUUGUUAUGGGUUUUCCCUUUACCUUGGCCUCCACCAUCUCCGCCCCCACCGCCACUGCCUCCACCUUGGCCGCCGCCGUCGCUUCCACCAACCGCCGCGAGUUGUGUUGUAGAUCCAGGCUUGCCGCCGCUGUGGGUACUGCUACAACCCAGAUCUGAGGCCAUCUUCAUUUUCGUCCAUCUCUGAGUGGCCUAGGUUGAUAAUGUACUGGAGGUAGAGAUGUGGCUCAUGAGGAGUAGCUUCGGACAGUCUUAGUUUAUGUUAUUAUUAUUAUUAUUAUAAUAAAAUAAGUGUCUUGCUCUGUAAUGUAACACUGGGUAGAUACUUUACGUUACUUUUACAUUUCGGUUGAGAGGAUUUUAUAACCUCUCCUUAUGGAAGUUGUUGAAUAAUUUUCUAAAUUAUGGCGAUGUCGUACUGUUGACGGUCGAAGUGCUUAUGAAAUUCA